rnacentral:rRNA from 1 species
AUACGUAGGUGGCAAGCGUUGUCCGGAAUUAUUGGGCGUAAAGCGCGCGCAGGCGGUCUCUUAAGUCUGAUGUGAAAGCCCCCGGCUCAACCGGGGAGGGUCAUUGGAAACUGGGAGACUUGAGUGCAGAAGAGAAGAGCGGAAUUCCACGUGUAGCGGUGAAAUGUGUAGAGAUGUGGAGGAACACCAGUGGCGAAGGCGGCUCUUUGGUCUGUAACUGACGCUGAGGCGCGAAAGCGUGGAGAGC